GGUUUCUAUCAUACCAACGUUAAUGCACCGGAUCCCAUCAGAACUCCGCAGUUAAGCGCACUUGGGCCAGAGUAGUACUGGGAUGGGUGACCUCCCGGGAAGUCCUGGUGUUGCACCCU
rnacentral:rRNA from 1 species